rnacentral:misc_RNA from 1 species
UCUCCGUUGGUGAACCAGCGGAGGGAUCAUUACGGAAGAGUUGCAAGACUCGCCAACCCUUUGUGAACUUACCUGAACCGUUGCUUCGGCGGGCAGCCCCAGGGCGGGGCCGCCGCCUCCCGCGUCAGGGAGGUGCCCGCCGGAAGCCCAAACACCAACUCUUGUUGUUCUGUGUCUUCUGAGUAACAAAACAAAAAUGAAUCAAAACUUUCAACAACGGAUCUCUUGGCUUUGGCAUCGAUGAAGAACGCAGC